rnacentral:rRNA from 1 species
GUUUGUCACGUCGUCUGUGAAAUCCUCCAGCUCAACUGGGGGCGUGCAGGCGAUACGGGCAGACUUGAGUACUACAGGGGAGACUGGAAUUCCUGGUGUAGCGGUGAAAUGCGCAGAUAUCAGGAGGAACACCGGUGGCGAAGGCGGGUCUCUGGGUAGUAACUGACGCUGAGGAGCGAAAGCAUGGGGAGCAAACAGGAUUAGAUACCCUGGUAGUCCAUGCCGUAAACGGUGGGCGCUAGGUGUGGGGUCCUUCCACGGAUUCCGUGCCGUAGCUAACGCAUUAAGCGCCCCGCCUGGGGAGUACGGCCGCAAGGCUAAAACUCAAAGGAAUUGACGGGGGCCCGCACAAGCGGCGGAGCAUGUGGAUUAAUUCGAUGCAACGCGAAGAACCUUACCUAGGCUUGACAUAUACAGGACGACGGCAGAGAUGUCGUUUCCCUUGUGGCUUGUAUACAGGUGGUGCAUGGUUGUCGUCAGCUCGUGUCGUGAGAUGUUGGGUUAAGCCCCGCAACGAGCGCAACCCCUGUCUCAUGUUGCCAGCACGUUAUGGUGGGGACUCGUGAGAGACUGCCGGGGUCAACUCGGAGGAAGGUGGGGAUGACGUCAAAUCAUCAUGCCCCUUAUGUCUAGGGCUUCACACAUGCUACAAUGGCUAGUACAGAGGGCUGCGAGACCGCGAGGUGGAGCGAAUCCCUUAAAGCUAGUCUCAGUUCGGAUUGGGGUCUGCAACUCGACCCCAUGAA